UCUCCGUUGGUGAACCAGCGGAGGGAUCAUUACAGGACUCGCAAGACUCCUACAACCCUGUGAACUUAACUAUAAGCACGUUGCUUCGGCGGGUGUCUCGGAGGGGGUUCUCCCUCCCCGAGACGCUAAACCCGCCGGCAGCCUACUAUACUCUGUCUCUUUGCGUUGGCAUCUCGAGUACAAUCAAACAAGUUAAAACUUUCAACAACGGAUCUCUUGGUUCUGGCAUCGAUAAAGAACGCAGC
rnacentral:misc_RNA from 1 species